AGGACGAACGCUGGCGGCGUGCUUAACACAUGCAAGUCGAACGGUAAGGCCCUUCGGGGUACACGAGUGGCGAACGGGUGAGUAACACGUGGGUGAUCUGCCCUGCACUUCGGGAUAAGCUUGGGAAACUGGGUCUAAUACCGGAUAUGACUACGAAUCGCAUGGUUUGUGGUGGAAAGCUUUUGCGGUGUGGGAUGGGCCCGCGGCCUAUCAGCUUGUUGGUGGGGUGAUGGCCUACCAAGGCGACGACGGGUAGCCGGCCUGAGAGGGUGUCCGGCCACACUGGGACUGAGAUACGGCCCAGACUCCUACGGGAGGCAGCAGUGGGGAAUAUUGCACAAUGGGCGCAAGCCUGAUGCAGCGACGCCGCGUGAGGGAUGACGGCCUUCGGGUUGUAAACCGUCUUUCAGUAUCGACGAAGCGCAAGUGACGGUAGGUACAGAAGAAGGACCGGCCAACUACGUGCCAGCAGCCGC
rnacentral:rRNA from 1 species